UGCCUACGGGGCAGCAGUGGGGGAUAUUGCACAAUGGGGGGAACCCUGAUGCAGCGACGCCGCGUGGGUGAAGAAGCGCCUCGGCGCGUAAAGCCCUGUCAGCAGGGAAGAAAAUGACGGUACCUGAAGAAGAAGCCCCGGCUAACUACGUGCC
rnacentral:rRNA from 1 species